rnacentral:rRNA from 1 species
UACGUAGGGGGCAAACGUUGUCCGGAUUUACUGGGUGUAAAGGGUGCUCAGGUGGUUUUGUAAGUCAGAGGUGAAAUUUCGGGGCUCAACCCCGGACCUGCCUUUGAUACUGCAAAGCUUGUGUACGGAAGAGGCUGAUGGAAUUUCUGGUGUAGCAGUGAAAUGCGUAGAUAUCAGAAAGAACACCAGUGGCGAAGGCGGUCAGCUGGUCCGGUACAGACACUACGCACGAAAGCAUGGGUAGCAAACAGG